rnacentral:rRNA from 1 species
AGAGUUUGAUUCUGGCUCAGGAUGAACGCUAGCUACAGGCUUAACACAUGCAAGUCGAGGGGCAGCAUUGGAGUAGCAAUACUCAGAUGGCGACCGGCGCACGGGUGAGUAACACGUAUCCAACCUGCCGCUUACUCGGGGAUAGCCUUUCGAAAGAAAGAUUAAUACCCGAUGGUAUAAAGAGUUCGCAUGUUCUCUUUAUUAAAGAAUUUCGGUAAGCGAUGGGGAUGCGUUCCAUUAGAUAGUUGGCGGGGUAACGGCCCACCAAGUCUACGAUGGAUAGGGGUUCUGAGAGGAAGGUCCCCCACAUUGGAACUGAGACACGGUCCAAACUCCUACGGGAGGCAGCAGUGAGGAAUAUUGGUCAAUGGACGAGAGUCUGAACCAGCCAAAGUAGCGUGAAGGAUGACUGCCCUAUGGGUUGUAAACUUCUUUUAUAAGGGAAUAAAGUGAGGGACGUGUCCCUUUUGUAUGUACCUUAUGAAUAAGGAUCGGCUAACUCCGUGCCAGCCGCGGC